AUUGAACGCUGGCGGCAGGCCUAACACAUGCAAGUCGAGCGAGCGGCGGACGGGUGAGUAAUAUGUGGGAAACUGCCUGAUGGAGGGGGAUAACUACUGGAAACGGUAGCUAAUACCGCAUACCAUCGGAUGUGCCCAGAUGGGAUUAGCUGGUAGGUGUGGUAACGGCUCACCUAGGCGACGAUCCCUAGCUGGUAUGAGAGGAUGACCAGCCACACUGGAACUGAGACACGGUCCAGACGCCGACGGGAGGCAGCAGUGGGGAAUUUUGGACAAUGGGCGCAAGCCUGAUCCAGCAAUGCCGCGUGUCUGAAGAAGGCCUUCGGGUUGUAAAGGACUUUUGUCAGGGAAGCGGUACCUGAAGAAUAAGCACCGGCUAACUACGUGCCAGCAGCCGCGGUAAUUC
rnacentral:rRNA from 1 species